UACGUAGGGGGCAAGCGUUGUCCGGAAUUAUUGGGCGUAAAGCGCGCGCAGGCGGUCCUUUAAGUCUGAUGUGAAAGCCCACGGCUCAACCGUGGAGGGUCAUUGGAAACUGGGGGACUUGAGUACAGAAGAGGAGAGUGGAAUUCCACGUGUAGCGGUGAAAUGCGUAGAGAUGUGGAGGAACACCAGUGGCGAAGGCGAGUCUCUGGACAUUUCCUGACGCUGAGGCACGAAAGCCAGGGGAGCAAACGGG
rnacentral:rRNA from 1 species